ensembl:lncRNA
CGGGAGACAGCAGACGUGUUUGGUGUCCCUUCCCGUUUGGGCCCAAGUAGGAACCAGGUGAAGACCAGAGCGCGGCUUCCUCCCCUGCGCUCCCAGCGCCUGGUACUGCGAGCCGAGCCGUGCGGCCCGCGCAGUGGGGCCGGCAAGUCGGGUGGUCCUGGGCAGCGCCACGCAGGCAUGUGGAAUCCGCGCUGGGUCCUGCAGGCUGGGCAGAAUUCGGGGGCUGAUGCUGCCGAAGCCGUAGGAGGGGACAGAGAAAAGGACGGGGAGGACUGAAGGCCAGACCUGCAGGGACGUCUUCCCACGGGCUUCGCGGUGGCCCUGCUUCCAGACGCGGCGGGCUGCUGCCAGGCCACAUCGCAGCCGCAGGGUCGGGGAGGAAAUGGCUCACAGAGAAGGCGCACGGUGGGCCCUGGUCGGGGGACCUUGGGGCCAGGACUGCACCAGGGGGAAGCCGCAGUUGACACGGAAGAAGGGGCGCCGCACGGGAAGACAGCUGGGACGUUCCGGAGCCCUGAAGGCGCUCACUCCAUAGCCACCCGGACAGGCCCUUCCCGCUCUGCCCUCCGCCCGCCCUGGGACCCCGGCGGGAGGCAGCUGGCGCACGUCCCAGUGCUCCAGCUUGCUCCUUGAGACGAGAAGAAGCCACGUAGCUCCCACACCUCAGCAACCCCGCCUUCGGGUCUCGGGCGCUCCGCGGUGUUUGAUGGGAGCACAGUGCCUGGAAGCCACGGAGGAGGAAGGGCCGUUCUCCUUAGCUCAUCGCUGCCCUGAAGAAUGAAGGUUGGUCCUGUGCAUCGGCUGAUGGAGGUUCGCGAAUGUAGGACACCCGUGGGAGAGGACGCUCCCCACCUCCGCCCCAGCUCUCAGUCCACCCAGAGCAAACCCGAGCCGGCAGACUUCGCCUCAUUCUUCACAGAAGCUGCGCCCUGCGGGUGGUGUGCUUUCAUAUCUGGCUGCCUUUGCUCAUACUGUGACCUGUACUCGCCUUAUUGACGGUGUGCUGUCCUAGAACAUCUAAGCACAAGAAACUCCUGAACCAUGAAUUAACAUUCAGCUCUCCAACUGCCAGUUGACCAGGGAGAGCUGC